rnacentral:rRNA from 1 species
CUUGGUCAUUUAGAGGAAGUAAAAGUCGUAACAAGGUCUCCGUAGGUGAACCUGCGGAGGGAUCAUUACUGAACGAUCAUCUUGAUCUUCUACCCUCAAACUCUGUGGAAGCAGUCUGUGCUUCGGCGUGGAAGCGCCGUUUUUAUGCUUCAAGCUGUGAUGUCUGAAGACAUUAAUUUCAAAACUUUCAACAAAGGAUCUCUUGGCUCUCGCAUCGAUGAAGAACGUAGCAAAGCGCGAAAUGUAGUGUGAAUUGCAGAACUUUGUGAAUCAUCGAAUCUUUGAACGCACAUUGCACCUCCUGUUACAGGGAGGUAUGCCUGUCUGAGCGUCAUUUAAUAAUAAAUCUCCCCGAGAUUUGUGUUGGGCGUGCCGUCGCGGCAUAGCCUCAAAUGUAUCGGUCUACUGCGGACGAGCUCCUCUGGAUUUACCGUGGGAAGCCUUCUAUCUCUGACUUGACCUCAGAUCAGGUAGGAAGACCGCCUGAACUUAAGCAUAUCAAUAAGCGGAGGA